rnacentral:rRNA from 1 species
UGGUGGAGUGAUUUGUCUGGUUAAUUCCGAUAACGAACGAGACUCUGUCUUGCUAACUAGGUUGUGUUUUCUCGGGUUGGUGUUUCUGGUGUUCCUUCUCGGGGCGCCGGCCCAAUCCACUUGUGAACACAACACUCUUCUUAGAGGGACUGGCGGCUGUUAGCCGCACGAGAUAGAGCAAUAACA